rnacentral:sRNA from 1 species
ACCCUCUCUCUCUUCUCUCUCUCCCUCUCCCUCUCUCUCUCUCUCUCUCUUUUAAAAAAUCAGCCAUUUGGGGUUUUAAGCCAUAAACGAUUUUUCUUGUUGCAGGGGAUUGCAGUGGCAAAGCUAGGCUAGGUCUUGGAGGCUGGUGUAAGGCGAUGCGGGUGAAGGCAGGAGGCUGAUGGAGAGACUGGGGGGAAGAAAAGCCGAAAUGGAUUCACGGUGCCUUGGAUGAAGGACGAGAGGGGAACUGCAAGCUCCUUCAACUGGUUCUGUCCGGUGAGAAGUGAUCAAGCUUGGGCUGACAAGAGGCUCAGGGAGCCCUCACGUUCUUUCGCUUUUUUACCUGCCAAUCAAACUGCUACAAGACAACACCCUGAUCUGGCAUGGACAUAUCCAACUUAGAAAUAAUGUUUCAUUCAAGAUAAGGCUCGUGGUUUAGGAGAUUGUGACCUGGCUUGCAUCAUUCUAAGACUUCUAUCGUCUGUUUUCAAAACCCAAGGAGGACCUCAUUUUCUGUGUGAUAGUUCCUCAUGCUUUGCCAGCCACUGGGUCUUUAAGGAAGCUUGCCAAGAGUUCCCGGCUGGGAAGGACAGUUCGAGUUCAUCAUAGACAAUGAGCUGGCACCACAGUUUAAGUGACUCACCAACCUGGUUGCCCACUUCAAAAUGUCAAGAACCACACUAUCUAAUUGAAAGAACUGUGUUUUAGCAAAGUGUAAUUGGAUCGCCUGGCAAGAUCAUCUCAAACUAUGUCUCUGACCUUGCCUUUCAGUGGCUAUUUUGAGCACAAGAGGAGAAAGGAAAUGAUUCCUGAAUUAUAUCUUGUUUUUAAAAAUUAAGAUUAAUUAAUACUUGGUUUUAUGUUCAUUCCAUUGUGGGAACUUAGUGAUUAUUACAAAACAG